GGUGAGAGCGAGCGAGAGAGAGGGGAAAGGGAGAGGAGGGAGGGAUGCCGGGCAGGACUGGGAUCGUUAGUUGGCUCGGGUGGUGAUGGAGACAUGCGCAGACUCACUCUCACGUCUCACUCGCCACGGCACCUCAUAGCGGCGCUCCUCUCUCUCCUGGCUCCUCCCCAUCACCUGAGGCUCCCCGCUGCCCCCCUCCACGCCCCCUCAAGCCUCUUCCACGCCCCCCACGCCCUUGCGACACUCACAUCACGCCCACAGCUAACUCGAGAAUGUGUUGGUCCUGGCCAUGGCGUCCGGUGGGAUAAAAGUGUCUCAUUCUCCUCCCUCCUCUUCCUCCGCCUCCGCAUCCUCCUCCUCCGCAUCCUCCUCCUCCUCCUCUUCCACCUCCUCCUCCUCCUCCUCCUCCUCCACGCGCAGUAUUAUUCAAGUAUUAUCAUUGAAAGUGAACGAGAAGUAUUUUUGAAGCAGUAUUAGAAGAAAACUACAAGAAAAGAAGAUUUGAUCCCGUUCUUCGUUCAUCGUCCUUCCUCCUCUUCCUUCUCCUCUUCUUCCUCCUCCUCCUCUUCAUCCUCCUCCGUCGCCGUCGCCUCCAGGAUGCCCAAGAGAAAAGUAACUGGACGCGCCGUAGGUAGAAGAUCACGCCGCAAGCGGCGUGAGUCUGGACCCAUCAUGCAACUCAACAACAACAAUAACAACAACAACAACAACAACAACAACAACAACAAUAACAGAAGCAGGUCAGCAACAACAACUGCAACAACCAACAACAACAACAAUAACAAUAACAACAACAACAAGA